rnacentral:rRNA from 1 species
UCCUUUGAAGAUGUUAGAGAUAAUAUUGGCUCUUCGGAGCCAAAGUGACAGGUGGUGCAUGGUCGUCGUCAGCUCGUGUCGUGAGAUGUUGGGUUAAGUCCCGCAACGAGCGCAACCCUUAUUGUUAGUUGCCAGCAUUUAGUUGGGCACUCUAGCGAGACUGCCGGUGACAAACCGGAGGAAGGCGGGGACGACGUCAGAUCAUCAUGCCCCUUAUGACCUGGGCUACACACGUGCUACAAUGGCGUAUACAACGAGUCACAAACUCGCGAGGGUAAGCUAAUCUCUUAAAGUACGUCUCAGUUCGGAUUGUAGUCUGCAACUCGACUACAUGAAGUCGGAAUCGCUAGUAAUCGCGGAUCAGCAUGCCGCGGUGAAUACGUUCCCGGGUCUUGUACACACCGCCCGUCACACCAUGGAAGUUUGUAAUGCCCAAAGCCGGUGGCCUAACCUUUUGGAGGGAGCCGUCUAAGGCAGGACAGAUGACUGGGGUGAAGUCGUAACAAGGUAACCAAGGGCGAAUUCCAG